rnacentral:tRNA from 1 species
GGAGGUGGAUGGGGACUGGUGUCCCUCCCGGCCUUCAAAGCCGCGUGUCCCUGCGAAACCGCGGGGAGGUGGGUUCGAUUCCCACGCACCUCCG